ACCAGCACCUCUAAAUCUCAUUAAUUAACACAUUAUAUCUCUUUUAUUUAAUCUGUACAAAAAGUUCAGUGUAAAAAUGGCAAUUUUAGGGUUAUGUGCUAGAAUAGUUUUCAGCUGGGACUAUCUCCACUGGUUGCCUGGCAACUGCUCAGAGCCGAGAAAUAGUUUUACCAGAUUAAACGGACAAGAUAUGUGUUAAUUAGUGGCCUUUAAAGGUGCUGGUAGGCAGAUUUUGUUACCCUUGGACAGAGCCAGACUAGCUGUUCCCAUUUCCACUGUUUAUGCUAAGCUAAGCUAACAGGGUGCUGGCUCCAGCUACAUUAUUUAACAGAUAGAUAUGAAAGUGGUAUUGAUCUUCUCAUCUUACUCUUCACCAGAAAGAUUUCCCAAAGGUAAGGAGGGGAAUUUUGUAAAAUUUAGCAAAGAACAAAGCCGAACCCAGGGAGUCCCAUAUGACUACUGGUCCGUGAUGCACCACAGCAAAUAUGCAUUCAGUAAUGGCAAUGGGUCAACAAUUAUCCCCAAAGACCCAAAAUUCAUGGAUGUUAUUGGUCAAAACCUGGGCAUGAGUCCCAGUGAUGUUCUGGAGCUGAACCGUCUCUACAAAUGCAACUCAACGAUUGGAUUUUAGAUGCACUGCCGCUUUUCUGAUGAGACCAUGUGUCAAAUGAAUCGCUGUUCAACGAGUAGCAUAAGCUGGGAAAGGGUAACAUAGGUUGUCGGGGGUCCCAGCUCUGACCACACCAGUCUACCCAGUGGCAAGCAUGAACGUGGUCUGGGGGGAGACUCAGCCUUGCUGGAGACCAAGAGGAUGAACCCCAGCAAAAAGUGUCACAUACAGUGUCUCCAGUUAUACUACUACCACAGUUGGAGUCAGUCAGACCACCUCAACAUCUGGCUCAGAGAGUUUGAAUAUGAAAAGGACUCGUGACAGAUCACUGGUAAUGUCCGCCUGUAUGAUUUUUGUGUCAUUGGUUAUAUAUUACACUGGUUAUAUAAUUUAUAUAGUUACCAUGGGUAUUGGACUGCUAUUUCAGGGACACAUAUACAUAAAGUUAGUAGUAUGAUGUGGAAUUUCAUAGCUGUCCCUGCACAAUGGUUCUUGGUUGACAAGGAUAGAGUACUUGAGAAUUGAAGAAAAUCCCUGCAAGAACAUGGUUUUGUUCUGUGGUGGUCAGACUAUGCUUAUUAGAAGAAUAUUUGGAUUAAUUUUGAGGUUACAUCUUUAAAAGGGGGUCUACUAUUUUGUUGAAUUUUGUAUUAUGACAUUUUUAGAAGCUUUCAAAUAAAUAUUUUUCACACUAAC